GAGUCGAGAGCUUUCGGAGCUCGGCAUACUGCUCAGUAACACGUGGGUAACCUGCCCUGUGCUGGGGGAUAACCUCGGGAAACUGAGAACAAUACCCCAUAGUCCACUACGCCUGGAACGGUGAGUGGAUGAAAGCCCCGGCGGCACAGGAUGGGCCUGCGGCGUAUCAGGUUGUAGGGGGUGUAACGUACCCUCUAGCCAUCAACGCGUACGGGUGUUGGGAGACAUAGCCCGGAGAUGGAUUCUGAGACACGAAUCCAGACCCUACGGGGUGCAGCAGGCGCGAAAACUUGGCAAUGCGAGAAAUCGUGACCAGGGAACUCCAAGUGGCUGGGGUAAGACCCAGUCUUUUCUUGACUCUUCAACGGUCUUGGAAUAAGGGGUGGGUAAGGACGGUGCCAGCCGCCGCGGUAAUACUGGCGCCUCAAGUGGUAGUCGAUUUUAUUGGGCCUAAAACGUCCGUAGCCUGUUUGGUACAUUCGUGGGUAAAUCAACCAGCUCAACUGGUUGAAUUCUGCGAGCACGGCCAGACUUGGGACCGGGAGAGGUGUGGGGUACGCUCAGGGUAGGGGUAAAAUCCUGUCAUCCUGAGCGGACCACCUGUUGCGAAGGCGCCACACUAGAACGGAUCCGACGGUCAGGGACGAAGCCUAGGGGCACGAACCGGAUUAGAUACCCGGGUAGUCCUAGGUG
rnacentral:rRNA from 1 species